rnacentral:lncRNA from 1 species
UUGCCUUCAGUCCACCAAACACAGGUGGUUGGUGGCGUGUCAUUGACUCUCUGGAGGACCCUUCACAUAUGUGCUCCUGAUGGAAAUUCAGGAUGCUCCUUCUACUUUACCGAGGACCCUGCCUAACAUGUAGGACAUGGCGUUGGCAUGAACCGAACCUGCAGAGACCAACGCCCGCGCCAUCCGUGCUCAAGGUGAGCCGGAAAAUCCGCCCAACAUCGAUAUCCUUGUGGAGUUUCUACAUCAUGAAUGCAGUUUCCACAUCCAGCCUUCCAAUCUCUGUGGUCACGGAAGAGGCAGCUCAACCGGGAGCCUUUCCAGCCCAAGAGGAAAACCACUGACCUUGGAGCUGAUCAGCGGCUCUGACCCUGGAGCUGGUCAGCCGUGCUUCGGAGCGCCAGGGCCACCCGCCACUGCGUGCCCUUGCGCAAGUCAUGCAUCUCCUAGGAAAUGAUGACAUUACUUUUUCUCUUGAAGAUGUGAGUGCCGUGAGCUGGACUAUGUCCCCCCAACAUUCAUGUGUUGAAGCACCAUUCCCCAGCACCGCAGAAUGGGGCUGUAUUCAGAGGUGGGGUCUCUAAAGAGGGGAUUAAGGUAAAAUGAGGUCACAAGGGUGGGCCCUGAUCCCAUAGCACGGGGGUCCUUAAAAGAAGAGGGGAUGAGGACACAGACACACACAGAGGGACGACCACAUGAGGACACAGAGAGAACAUGUUGUCUCCAUGCCCAGGAGAAAGGCCUCAGGAGGAACCAGCUUCAGCCCCGCCUGGAUCUCAAACUCCCAGCCUCAGCCCCGCCUGGAUCUCAGACUCCCAGCCUCAGCCCCGCCUGAAUCUCAGACUCCCAGCCUCCAAGACUGAGAUAAUAAUAUAUGUCUGUUAUUUGAACUAACCUGUCUAUGGUGUUUUGUGAGCACAUUAAGUUAUAGUUAUGCUAUGCGUACGUGUGUCUGUAUCUCUAUUUCCUAUAUAUGUGCCCAUAUAUGUAUAUAUGUGUGUGUUAUAUAUAUAAUAUAUAUAAUACAUUAUAUAUAAUGUAUAUAUAAUACAUAAUUGUAUAUGUAUAUAUACAUAUAAAUAUGUAUAUACAUAUUUAUAUAUAUAUAAAACUAUCCGAACUAUAUUUAUAUAUAAUAUAUACUCCAGUAUGGAUAGGGUUAGAUAGAUAGAUACACAGAUAGAUACCUGAGUAUAUAUACUACAUAGAGAAAGUGGUCAAGAGUAGAGGAAUAAAAUUGUCGACCAAAGGUCA